GACGAACGCUGGCGGCGUGCUUAACACAUGCAAGUCGAACGCUGAAGCUUGGUGCUUGCCCUGGGUGGAUGAGUGGCGAACGGGUGAGUAAUACGUGAGUAACCUGCCCUUGACUCUGGGAUAAGCCUGGGAAACUGGGUCUAAUACUGGAUAUGACAUGCCACUGCAUGGUGGUGUGUGGAAAGGGUUUUACUGGUUUUGGAUGGGCCCACGGCCUAUCAGCUUGUUGGUGAGGUAAUGGCCUACCAAGGCGACGACGGGUAGCCGGCCUGAGAGGGUGACCGGCCACACUGGGACUGAGACACGGCCCAGACUCCUACGGGAGGCAGCAGUGGGGAAUAUUGCACAAUGGGCGGAAGCCUGAUGCAGCGACGCCGCGUGAGGGAUGACGGCCUUCGGGUUGUAAACCUCUUUCAGCACGGAAGAAGCGAGAGUGACGGUACGUGCAGAAGAAGCGCCGGCUAACUACGUG
rnacentral:rRNA from 1 species